GACGAAAGUCUGACCGAGCAACGCCGCGUGAGUGAAGAAGGUUUUCGGAUCGUAAAGCUCUGUUGUAAGUCAAGAACGUGUGUGAGAGUGGAAAGUUCACACAGUGACGGUAGCUUACCAGAAAGGGACGGCUAACUACGUGCCAGCAGCCGCGGUAAUACGUAGGUCCCGAGCGUUGUCCGGAUUUAUUGGGCGUAAAGGGAGCGCAGGCGGUCAGGAAAGUCUGGAGUAAAAGGCUAUGGCUCAACCAUAGUGUGCUCUGGAAACUGUCUGACUUGAGUGCAGAAGGGGAGAGUGGAAUUCCAUGUGUAGCGGUGAAAUGCGUAGAUAUAUGGAGGAACACCAGUGGCGAAAGCGGCUCUCUGGUCUGUCACUGACGCUGAGGCUCGAAAGCGUGGGUAGCGAACAGGAUUAGAUACCCUGGUAGUCCACGCCGUAAACGAUGAGUGCUAGGUGUUAGGCCCUUUCCGGGGCUUAGUGCCGGAGCUAGCGCAAUAAGCACUCCGCCUGGGGAGUACGACCGCAAGGUUGAAACUCAAAGGAAUUGACGGGGGCCCGCACAAGCGGUGGAGCAUGUGGUUUAAUUCGAAGCAACGCGAAGAACCU
rnacentral:rRNA from 1 species